rnacentral:rRNA from 1 species
UUGAUCCUGGCUCAGAAGAACGCUGGCGGCAUGCUUUACACAUGCAAGUCGAACGGCAGCGGGUCCUUCGGGAUGCCGGCGAGUGGCGAACGGGUGAGUAAUGCAUCGGAACGUACCUGGUCGUGGGGGAUAACACAGCGAAAGUUGUGCUAAUACCGCAUGAGACCUGAGGGUGAAAGCGGGGGCUCGCAAGACCUCGCGCGACUGGAGCGGCCGAUGUCAGAUUAGCUAGUUGGUACGGUAAAGGCCUACCAAGGCGACGAUCUGUAGCGGGUCUGAGAGGAUGAUCCGCCACACUGGGACUGAGACACGGCCCAGACUCCUACGGGAGGCAGCAGUGGGGAAUUUUGGACAAUGGGCGCAAGCCUGAUCCAGCCAUGCCGCGUGAGUGAAGAAGGCCUUCGGGUUGUAAAGCUCUUUCAGCCGGGAAGAAAUCGCACGGGUUAAUACCCUGUGCGGAUGACGGUACCGGAACAAGAAGCACCGGCUAACUACGUGCCAGCAGCCGCGGUAAUACGUAGGGUGCGAGCGUUAAUCGGAAUUACUGGGCGUACAGCGUGCGCAGGCGGAUGCUUAAGUCAGAUGUGACAAUCCCGAGCUUAACUUG